GUCUACGGCCAAACCAGCCUGAAUGCACCUGAUAUCGGAAGCUAAGCAGGGUCGGGCCUGGUUAGUACUUGGAUGGGAGAAAUCUGCUUCACUAAUCC
ensembl:rRNA 5S_rRNA 5S ribosomal RNA